CCUACGGGGGGCAGCAGUGGGGAAUAUUGCACAAUGGGGGAAACCCUGAUGCAGCAACGCCGCGUGAAGGAAGACGGUUUUCGGAUUGUAAACUUCUGUUCUUAGUGAAGAAUAAUGACGGUAGCUAAGGAGCUAGCCACGGCCAACUACGUGCCAGCAGCCGCGGUAAUACGUAGGUGGCAAGCGUUGUCCGGAAUUACUGGGGGUAAAGGGAGCGCAGGCGGGAAGCAAAGUCAGCUGUGAAAACUACGGGCUUAACUUGUAGACUGCAGUUGAAACUGGUUUUCUUGAGUGAAGGAGAGGUUGGCGGAAUUCCGAGUGUAGCGGUGAAAUGCGUAGAUAUUCGGAGGAACACCGGUGGCGAAGGCGGCCAACUGGACUUUAACUGACGCUGAGGCACGAAAGCGUGGGGAGCGAACAGGAUUAGAUACCCGGGUAGUC
rnacentral:rRNA from 1 species